AACGAACGCUGGCGGCAUGCCUAACACAUGCAAGUCGAACGAAGGCUUCGGCCUUAGUGGCGCACGGGUGCGUAACGCGUGGGAAUCUGCCCUUUGGUUCGGAAUAACAGCUGGAAACGGCUGCUAAUACCGGAUGAUGACGAAAGUCCAAAGAUUUAUCGCCAGAGGAUGAGCCCGCGUUGGAUUAGGUAGUUGGUGGGGUAAAGGCCUACCAAGCCGACGAUCCAUAGCUGGUCUGAGAGGAUGAUCAGCCACACUGGGACUGAGACACGGCCCAGACUCCUACGGGAGGCAGGAGUGGGGAAUAUUGGACAAUGGGCGCAGGCCUGAUCCAGCAAUGCCGCGUGAGUGAUGAAGGCCCUAGGGUUGUAAAGCUCUUUUACCCGGGAAGAUAAUGACUGUACCGGGAGAAUAAGCCCCGGCUAACUCCGUG
rnacentral:rRNA from 1 species